rnacentral:rRNA from 1 species
UGAGGAAUAUUGGUCAAUGGACGAGAGUCUGAACCAGCCAAGUAGCGUGAAGGAUGACUGCCCUAUGGGUUGUAAACUUCUUUUAUACGGGAAUAAAGUGAGGCACGUGUGCCUUUUUGUAUGUACCGUAUGAAUAAGGAUCGGCUAACUCCGUGCCAGCAGCCGCGGUAAUACGGAGGAUCCGAGCGUUAUCCGGAUUUAUUGGGUUUAAAGGGAGCGUAGGCGGACGCUUAAGUCAGUUGUGAAAGUUUGCGGCUCAACCGUAAAAUUGCAGUUGAUACUGGAUGUCUUGAGUGCAGUUGAGGCAGGCGGAAUUCGUGGUGUAGCGGUGAAAUGCUUAGAUAUCACGAAGAACUCCGAUUGCGAAGGCAGCCUGCUAAGCUGCAACUGACAUUGAGGCUCGAAAGUGUGGGUAUCAAACAGGAUUAGAUACCCUGGUAGUCCACACGGUAAACGAUGAAUACUCGCUGUUUGCGAUAUACGGCAAGCGGCCAAGCGAAAGCGUUAAGUAUUCCACCUGGGAAGUACGCCGGCAACGGUGAAACUCAAAGGAAUUGACGGGGGCCCGCACAAGCGGAGGAACAUGUGGUUUAAUUCGAUGAUACGCGAGGAACCUUACCCGGGCUUAAAUUGCACUCGAAUGAUCCGGAAACGGUUCAGCUAGCAAUAGCGAGUGUGAAGGUGCUGCAUGGUUGUCGUCAGCUCGUGCCGUGAGGUGUCGGCUUAAGUGCCAUAACGAGCGCAACCCUUGUUGUCAGUUACUAACAGGUGAUGCUGAGGACUCUGACAAGACUGCCAUCGUAAGAUGUGAGGAAGGUGGGGAUGACGUCAAAUCAGCACGGCCCUUACGUCCGGGGCUACACACGUGUUACAAUGGGGGGUACAGAGGGCCGCUACCACGCGAGUGGAUGCCAAUCCCUAAAACCCCUCUCAGUUCGGACUGGAGUCUGCAACCCGACUCCACGAAGCUGGAUUCGCUAGUAAUCGCGCAUCAGCCACGGCGCGGUGAAUACGUUCCC